GCCGGGAUGGCGGAAUUGGUAGACGCGCCGGACUCAAAAUCCGGUGCUGGAGACAGUGUGAGGGUUCGAGUCCCUCUCCCGGCACCA
rnacentral:tRNA from 4 species